rnacentral:lncRNA from 1 species
CGGUGGCUAGAAAUUGAUGGAAACGGUGGGGGAAAAUACAUGAACUGGACUCUAACAAGACCUAACCAGCAAUAAGACCUCGACGAGGACACAAACUCAACACUGCGGACUCUGAAACUGAAAUAUGCAAAGGCUAUGACGUGGAAGGGUUGUAGGACAAGAAAACGAUAUGACACUGCACUUAUGGGACGAACACAAGAACACUCAAAACUAAGGGUAGAUGUGAACCUAAUGGUAUACCUAAAGCUUUGAUUCCCACAUGAUGAGAACAAGGGUGACCCGAUCUUCUAAAAGGUUCUGGUAACUCUCGAUUUGGUGGAGACGAGACACAAAUCGAUCCGGCUUCCGAACAACACGAUCCGAAACCCUGCAAUUUUUUUUAUUUUUUUGAUAUUUUUCUUUUGUUAGAGCACCAAAGGAGUGACCACAGAAAAUUUGAGCUUAAACCAGUGAAAGACAUGGCCUACGAAAAUUUCUGAAAAUUGUGAAAAAUGUGAAAAAAACAUCAUGAGGUGAAAACUCAAACUUCAGUUGUGAAUUUGGAGGUCCUAAAAUUUGCAAACCAGCCAAGGGAGGGGACAGAC